AUGUUGUUUCUGUUAUUUAACAUGUUUUGUUAAAUUUGUUUAAUCUAUUCAUGAAUAUUGAGCGUUUGUAACUAGGAACUAAAGUACAAUUGCGUUACACACGGACACUUUUUUAUGGUGCAACAGAGAAAAAGGACAUACAUUUUGGUGAAAAGGUAUUCUCCGUGUGUGAAUAUAAGAGUUACUCGUGUUUUGAGCAAAGAAGUAAAGAAGAUGUUUUCGUUUUUUGUUUGAAUCGGGUAUUUUCAAGUGAACUCAUUCUCUCUUGGUUAUAUGCAGCCAGCGAGUUUGACGGUGGAAUUCAUUGAUGAUGAGUGAGAUGGCGAAGAUAAGGAUGACAAGCGAAAUAAAUCCAUCGGUAACCAGAA